rnacentral:misc_RNA from 1 species
GAAUGAAGAACGUAGCGAAAUGCGAUAAGUAAUGUGAAUUGCAGAAUUCAGUGAAUCAUCGAAUCUUUGAACGCACAUUGCGCCCGCCAGUAUUCUGGCGGGCAUGCCUGUUCGAGCGUCAUUUCAACCAUCAAGCCCCAGGCUUGUGUUGGGGACCUGCGGCUGCCGCAGGCCCUGAAAACCAGUGGCGGGCUCGCUGUCACACCGGGCGUAGUAGAUUUUAUCUCGCUCAGGGCGUGCUGCGGGUUCCGGCCGUUAAAAAGCCUUUUUUACCCAAGGUUGACCUCGGAUCAGGUAGGAAGACCCGCUGAACUUAAGCAUAUCAAUAAGCGGAGGA